rnacentral:rRNA from 1 species
GACGGGACCGCACAAGCAGCGGAGCGUGUGGUUUAAUUCGUUGCUACACGAAGAACCUUACCUGGGUUUGACAUAUAGGUUGUAGGGAACUGAAAAGGGACCGACCCUUCGGGGAGCCUAUACAGGUGUUGCAUGGCUGUCGUCAGCUCGUGUCGUGAGAUGUUCGGUUAAGUCCGCUAACGAGCGCAACCCUCGUCGUAUGUUAUAUGUGUCAUACGAGACUGCCGGUAAAAGCCGGAGGAAGGUGAGGAUGAUGUCAAGUCAGCAUGACCUUUAUAUCCAGGGCUACACACACGCUACAAUGGUCUGUACAAUGGGUAGCCAAGCCGCGAGGCGGAGCCAAUCCUGAAAGCAGGCCUCAGUUCAGAUUGCAGUCUGCAACUCGACUGCAUGAAGCCGGAGUUGCUAGUAACCGCAGGUCAGCAAUACUGCGGUGAAUACGUUCCCGGGUCUU